ACAGCCCUUUCGAGAUUUCCUCGAUGCAGAAGCAGAGUGAGGUUGUGCUGAGCCUUAUGGGAAAGAGCCCAGAGACCUGCUUUUGUUGGCUUCUCAGGUUUGCUGGCAUGUGCAGCCUGGGGUCUCGCUCUCUUUCCCCCCGAAACACUGGCUGUCUGCACUGGUGAGAAGUGUGAGGAGAGGAAAUUGGGGAAAUGAGACUUUCUGUAAAAUGACCACAACUGUUGGUGGGAGGAAGGAGUGGAAACAUGGAGAGAGGACGUUUUAGAAAAAUGUGUUUUCCUUAAGCAACCAGAAUCACAAAGUUCAACUAAGGCAAUUUCUGUAAAACCCCCAGACUAUUUCUACAUUUAUUUAAUUCAGUGAAGAAAGGUCUGUUCCGUUAUUUGAUGAGUGUUUCUGACAUGCUGCUACCAGCAAUUUGGUUAAACUCUUCUAAUCUUCAGUAUUUCGGGAAGACUUGCCUUGUGGCCUCUGGGUCAUUCCCUGGAUGGUCACUUAUUAUAUUAACAGAGAAGGAGAAAAACUGCUAAAAAGUAAAACCCUAGAAGGUAUGGGAAGAAAGAACAGCGCCCGGGGAAGCUGUGUGUGAGUGGGGAAAACGACUUCCUCUUCUGAACAAUCUUUCAGAGGACAUUCCUCCUAGAGUUUAAAACAUUACAGUCUCCAGAGCCCAGCGCCAAUUCCGUGUCAGCCCACAACCCGCUCUGGUUGCACAGCUUCACGAGUCACAAGGACUGGAUGAACAAGUGUGUGUGCCUAGUGACUGCCUUCUCCCAGCACAUGCACCAUGUCCUGGUGGCAUUGCCGGAGAUGGUCCGUGCCCUCUCAGCCCAGCAGCAGACCCUCAGGCAGAUCACCAUCUGUGGAGACCGCCAGGCCAAGGACACCAAAGUUGUGGUGCAGUGCGUCCACCCUGUCUACAUUCCUAACAUGGUGCUGAUUCUGGCUGAUGGGGACCCCUCGAGUUUCCUGUCCCACUGGCUGCCUUUCCUGAGUACCCUCCGAAGGCAGGAAGACCAGGCCACUGCGUCUGUGUGUGAGAAUCAAGCCUGCUCAAUGCUCAUCACUGAUACCUGUGAAUUACGAAAACUGCUACAUCCGUGACUGCCCCAACCCUCUUGGGCUGGGGCAGAAGGUAGAGCUUCCCAACUGACUAAAGACUCAGGUCCUGCAGGGCCGUGUAGAACUUGCGGCCAUCCCUGAGCACCCUGCCACCAGGAAGCUGAUAAGAAGGCCCAGGUGCUCCCUCCUUUGGAAUUGGUGGGAAAUUUAAACCCCACAAGCCUCUACCCCUGUGCAAAAGCCUUCACCCCAGCCUCAUCUCUACCCACAAUAAACGCCAAGCCAGUCUCUCUUCUCCGGUCUCUAAAGCUAUUUUUGGAUCAUUAUGUAAGCAAUAAACCUUUCCAUACUUUC